GGGAGUUUCACACCAUCUUUUAUCUCAAACGGUUCCGACCUUGGUUUUGCAAACUGGCCUGCCAUCCUUCCUACCUUGAUGAUGGGCAUUUGAGCACCGAAAGUGAGAACAACGCCCAUCUGUAGCAAAACCCGGAAGGUAUCACGAAUAUUAUUGGCAUUGAACUCUUUGAAACUCUCUGCACAAUCUCCACCCUGAAGCAGAAAGGCAUUUCCUACGGCCGCACUGGCUAUUCUUUCCUCGAGCCUCCUCGCCUCACCUGCGAAAACAAUUGGCGGGAAGCUGCUGAGGGUGUGGAGCACCGAUUCCAAUUCAGCCAGAUCAUUGUAUUCCGGGAGUUGCUGGGCCGGUUUUGAUUUCCAGCUGUCCAAUGACCAGUUGGGAGAAACUACGUUGGAUGAUGAGGAAGAGGAGCUGGAGACUGAGGCAAUGAUGGCAGGUCUGGGGUUUUUGGUGGGGUUGUGGGUGACAUGGAGGGGGAAGAUCUGAGGCUUGAGAUAAGAGGAGGUGGCGCUAGCGGUGGCGUUGGCAGGGGAGAUCGGUGUCUUAGCGGUGGUCAGAUUGGCGGAAGCAGAAAGAGCCAUUUCAGUGGGAAAAGCAGAAGCAUGGGUAAGCGUGACUGAAUAUUGAAGCAUGAUGACAUUACAC
rnacentral:misc_RNA from 1 species